rnacentral:rRNA from 1 species
AGCAGCCGCGGUAAUUCCAGCUCCAAUAGCGUAUAUUAAAGUUGUUGCAGUUAAAAAGCUCGUAGUUGAAUUUCGGGAUCAGAUUGUCGGUCGUGCCUCGGUACGCACUGGCAUUAUUGGUUCCUACCUUCUGAAGAACCGCGAUGUCAUUAAUUUGGUGUCGUGAGGAAUCAGGACUGUUACUUUGAAAAAAUUAGAGUGUUUAAAGCAGGCGCACGCUUGAAUACAUUAGCAUGGAAUAAUGAAAUAGGACGUUUGAUUCUAUUUUGUUGGUUUCUAGGAUCGACGUAAUGAUUAAUAGGGAUAGUUGGGGGCAUUAGUAUUCAAUUGUCAGAGGUGAAAUUCUUGGAUUUAUUGAAGACUAACUACUGCGAAAGCAUUUGCCAAGGAUGUUUUCAUUAAUCAAGAACGAAAGUUAGGGGAUCGAAGACGAUCAGAUACCGUGCGUAGUCUUAACCAUAAACUAUGCCGACUAGGGAUCGGAUGAUGU